AACGAACGCUGGCGGCAGGCUUAACACAUGCAAGUCGAACGGUUGUAGCAAUACAGCAGUGGCAGACGGGUGAGUAACACGUGGGAACCUUCCUAGGGGGUACGGAACAACUCAGGGAAACUUGAGCUAAUACCGUAUACGUCCGUGAGGAGAAAGAUUUAUCGCCCUUAGACGGGCCCGCGUCGGAUUAGCUAGUUGGUGGGGUAACGGCCUACCAAGGCGACGAUCCGUAGCUGAUCUUAGAGGAUGAUCAGCCACACUGGGACUGAGACACGGCCCAGACUCCUACGGGAGGCAGCAGUGGGGAAUCUUGGACAAUGGGCGCAAGCCUGAUCCAGCCAUGCCGCGUGAGUGAAGAAGGUCUUCGGAUUGUAAAGCUCUUUUGCCAGGGACGAUAAUGACGGUACCUGGAGAAUAAGCCCCGGCAAACUUCGUGCCAGCAGCCGCGGUAAU
rnacentral:rRNA from 1 species